UACGGAGGGACCAAGCGUUGUUCGGAUUUACUGGGCGUAAAGGGCGCGUAGGCGGUGCGGUAAGUCACUUGUGAAAUCUCUGAGCUUAACUCAGAACGGCCAAGUGAUACUGCAGUACUAGAGUGCAGAAGGGGCAAUCAGAAUUCUUGGUGUAGCGGUGAAAUGCGUAGAUAUCAAGAGGAAUGCCUGAGGUGAAGACGGGUUGCUAGGCUGACACUGACGCUGAGGCGCGAAAGCCAGGGGAGCAAACGGG
rnacentral:rRNA from 1 species